GGGUUCAUCAAAAAGGAACAUUCUUCCAUGAUGUGGUCUGUGUCAUUACAUCCAUUGCAAGUAGAUAUUGAAACUUGGUUCACUUAGGUGUGUCCCUUGAGUUGGCCUCUAACCUACAUAGUAUAGUAUCUAUUUUGGCCUUUGUAGCUAGGGAUAUGGAUACUUGGUGCAUAGCACCUCUUGUAGGUUUCCUAGUUGCUUCCCACUGCA
rnacentral:lncRNA from 1 species